rnacentral:rRNA from 1 species
GACAAGACUGACGCUCAGGUGCGAAAGCGUGGGGAGCAAACAGGAUUAGAUACCUGGUAGUCCACGCUGUAAACGAUGUCGAUUUGGAGGUUGUUCCCUUGAGGAGUGGCUUCCGGAGCUAACGCGUUAAAUCGACCGCCUGGGGAGUACGGCCGCAAGGUUAAAACUCAAAUGAAUUGACGGGGGCCCGCACAAGCGGUGGAGCAUGUGGUUUAAUUCGAUGCAACGCGAAGAACCUUACCUACUCUUGACAUCCAGAGAAUUUAGCAGAGAUGCUUUAGUGCCUUCGGGAACUCUGAGACAGGUGCUGCAUGGCUGUCGUCAGCUCGUGUUGUGAAAUGUUGGGUUAAGUCCCGCAACGAGCGCAACCCUUAUCCUUUGUUGCCAGCGAUUCGGUCGGGAACUCAAAGGAGACUGCCGGUGAUAAACCGGAGGAAGGUGGGGAUGACGUCAAGUCAUCAUGGCCCUUACGAGUAGGGCUACACACGUGCUACAAUGGCGUAUACAAAGAGAAGCGACCUCGCGAGAGCAAGCGGAACUCAUAAAGUACGUCGUAGUCCGGAUUGGAGUCUGCAACUCGACUCCAUGAAGUCGGAAUCGCUAGUAAUCGUAGAUCAGAAUGCUACGGUGAAUACGUUCCCGGGCCUUGUACACACCGCCCGUCACACCAUGGGAGUGGGUUGCAAAAGAAGUAGGUAGCUUAACCUUCGGGAGGGCGCUUACCACUUUGUGAUUCAUGACUGGGGUGAAGUCGUAACAAGGUAACCA